rnacentral:rRNA from 1 species
AAGGGUGACGAAGCGACGCCGCGUGUGGGAAGAAGGCCUUCGGAUUGUAAACCACUGUCGGGAGUUAGGAAAUGCAGGUGCGUUAAUAGCGCACUUGCUUGACUAAGGCUCCAGAGGAAGCCACGGCUAACUCUGUGCCAGCAGCCGCGGUAAUACAGAGGCGGCAAGCGUUGUUCGGAAUUAUUGGGCGUAAAGAGCACGUAGGCGGCCUUGCAAGUCAGUUGUGAAAGCCUUCCGCUUAACGGAAGAACGGCAUCUGAUACUACAGGGCUUGAGUACGGGAGGGGAGAGUGGAACUUCUGGUGGAGCGGUGAAAUGCGUAGAUAUCAGAAGGAACGCCGGCGGCGAAAGCGACUCUCUGGUCCGAAACUGACGCUGAGUGUGCGAAAGCUAGGGGAGCAAA